CUACUCUUGACAUCCAGAGAAUUCGCUAGAGAUAGCUUAGUGCCUUCGGGAACUCUGAGACAGGUGCUGCAUGGCUGUCGUCAGCUCGUGUUGUGAAAUGUUGGGUUAAGUCCCGCAACGAGCGCAACCCUUAUCCUUGUUUGCCAGCACGUAAUGGUGGGAACUCCAGGGAGACUGCCGGUGAUAAACCGGAGGAAGGUGGGGACGACGUCAAGUCAUCAUGGCCCUUACGAGUAGGGCUACACACGUGCUACAAUGGCGAUAUACAGAGGGCUGCAAGCUAGCGAGUAGUGAGCGAAUCCCACAAAGUACGUCGUAGUCCGGAUUGGAGUCUGCAACUCGACUCCAUGAAGUCGGAAUCGCUAGUAAUCGUGAAUCAAAAUGUCACGGUGAAUACGUUCCC
rnacentral:rRNA from 1 species